rnacentral:rRNA from 1 species
UACGAAGGGGGCUAGCGUUGUUCGGAAUCACUGGGCGUAAAGGGCGCGUAGGCGGCCGUUCAAGUCGGGGGUGAAAGCCUGUGGCUCAACCACAGAAUUGCCUUCGAUACUGUACGGCUCGAGACCGGAAGAGGUAAGUGGAACUGCGAGUGUAGAGGUGAAAUUCGUAGAUAUUCGCAAGAACACCAGUGGCGAAGGCGGCUUACUGGUCCGGUUCUGACGCUGAGGCGCGAAAGCGUGGGGAGCGAACAGG